rnacentral:rRNA from 1 species
AGCAGUCGCCACGGUAAUACGUAGGGAGCAAGCGUUGUUCGGAUUUACUGGGCGUAAAGGGCGCGUAGGCGGCGCGGUAAGUCACUUGUGAAAUCUCUGAGCUUAACUCAGAACGGCCAAGUGAUACUGCUGUGCUAGAGUGCGGAAGAGGCAACCGGAAUUCUUGGUGUAGCGGUGAAAUGCGUAGAUAUCAAGAGGAACACCUGAGGCGAAGGCGGGUUGCUGGGCCGACACUGACGCUGAUGCGCGAAAGCCAGGGGAGCAAACGGGAUAAGAGACCCGCGUAGUCCCUGUCUCUUAUAC